GGUGGUGAUGGUGUUGAUGGUGAUGGUAGUGGUAAUGGAGAUGGUGGUGAUGGAGGUGGCAGUGGUGGUGAUAAGGAUGAUGGUGGUGGUGGUAAUGAUGGUGGUGAUGGUGGUAGUGAUGGAGAUGGUGGUGUUGAUGGUGGUAGUGAAAUGGAGAUGGUGGUGAUGCAUAUGGUGUUGUUGGUGGUGAUGGAGAUGGUGGUGGUGGUGGUAAUGAUGGUGGUGGUGAUGGUGGUGAUGAUAGUAUUGUUGUUAGUCAUACGGUCUUAGAAUGAAAAUUUCCAUGGAUCCAGUUUGGAACCUCAUCACAUCCUUGUCCCUGGACAAUGCCACUUGGACCUCUAUUUUCCAUGGAUUGUUAGGUGACCUCAGAGAAUCUCCCAACUCCACCCUCUCAGCUCUGGAGUCCUGAGACCUCUUUUCUGUGCGUGAAGGGUGGUGGUGGAGGGGAAGGACUGAUUUUCUCCCCAGUGGGUUGGGUCUGGUCAGGUUUGGGAACUGGCGGAGAGGUCCCACAGGCGGGGCACUUUGGAAGUCAGGCCAGGCUCCCCAGCACCCGUGCUCUGAGGUCCUCCAAGCCUACAUGCCAGCAAGGUGCCCUAACCGGGCUAGAAGUCCACAGUGCCCCCUGCAAAGAAUGCCUCAGCUCCCUGGAAACCCAGGGUCCAUUCUAGGGGAGACCUGGUGACACUGUGCACUUCAGGUCCCCAAAAGCUCCUUUCCAGGUGCCCCACCAACCAACCACAUUUCCACCAGAUUCAACACUGAGAUUCAGAGCCCAAGGCCCCCCCUUCCUGGCCCCGGUGCCAGGCUGCAGCUACAAGACAGGCAGUGACCAGCCCCUCUGGAGAGUCAGAGGUCUCUGUUUGGGGCGUGCUUUCAGUCUCCAAGUCUCCAUAACUCUGCAGACAGUUCCUCACCCCAGCCAGGCCCUGCCCUCUGGCCUUCCAAGGGUCCAGGGCCUGGGGGAUCUGCCCAGUUCCGGGUUCCUGCUCCAUAGCCCAGACACCCCAGCAUGACCACCAGAGGGUGCUGUGCCCCAGGGAAAGGCCCCUGCCAUGCCUGAGCCCCAGGGUGGCCCUGCGCGCUGGAGCCCAGACUCCGGGGACAGAUGAGAGGGGAAGCCAUGGAACACAGGCUGGGAGAGCGAGGGCUCAGGGUCUCCAGGACCUGACCCCAGGCCCAGGGCUGUGUGACCCUGUCAAGUCCCUUGUCUCUGUCAUGGUGCUGGCCUAGAAGCCUCCGGCGCGGGGGGCGGGGGGGGGUUGCAUGGGGACCAGGACAUGCCUGAGUGCACCCCACCCCACACCAGGAGACUACUGUCCCCGUGAGACAAGGUAGGACGAGGACUUCAGGUUUUGGUCUGAUGAGGGACGAGGGGGUCAGAGCCCGGGAACCGCCAGAGGCCCAGGGUGCUGGUGGGUGGCGCCGCAGAGGCCGCUUGUGUGGCGCUGCCCCAGCUGGCCUCUCCUGCCACAGAGCUAGGCCACAGGGCUGCUCGCUCCCCACGGUUCAGUCUGAGGACCCCGGACUCCUGCACAGCCUCCGUGCACACCCAGGGUGCACACCCAGGGCUCACCCACCCCGCCAUUGUUUCCUUACCACUGACUGCUGGAGCGCCCUGGCGGGAGGGCGGGUGUCCCGUGGCCUUCUCCCCUCUCCACGGCUCAGUAGAACCCUGUGCUCUUCCACCUGGGAGUUCAGGGCCUCCCACCCGCAGGGGCCCGCUGGCCUGACUAGCUGGGAGCUCGCUCACUCAGCUGCUCGUUGGCCAGCAGGGGUCCUUGUGAGGGCCUACUGUGUGCCGGGCUUUGUGCUAAGAGGUUUUGGAGAUACACAAAGAAGCACAAAAUGGCCGCCUUUCCCCUGGGGACAGUGGAGCCCAGGGAUCAGCAGGAGCCACAGCCCGUGGGAGCGGCAAAGGCGGUCUCAGGUGGUGUCCUGAUGCCAGCGUGUGGCUGGCAGAUCAGGGAGGGCUCCCUGCAGCGACCUGUCACCAGGCUGUGAGAAGCCAGGGGCCUUGCAGGUGGGGGAGCAGCCUGGGCACAGGGUGUGGUGUGUGCAAAGACCUGGGAAGGGCAAGGUGGCCAGGCUGCCCAGCCUGAGGCCUCAGGAAGGGGCUGGGCCCGCAGCCCCCUACCGCAGGGCCAGUGCAGCACUUGGAACUGCAGGUCCAGCUGCCAUGUCCAGGGCAGGCAGUGUGGCUGGGGGCUCCUGUCACCUGUGCUGAGAGGCUGGCUCACCACCUGGUGCAGGGUCCUGCCCAAGGUUCCUGGGACACAAAAGGGCUGCCAGGUCCUCACUCCAGCCCCUGGGAGGGAGGGGCCUAUCAGAACUGAACCGGGAUGAAGCAGCCUUGAUAGACCUAGAGAAAGAGCUCUGCAGGCAGCCAGCAUGACCUGUGCAAAGAUCCUGGGGCAGGAAGGAGCUGGGCCCAUGGCCAGCACACCCAAGGGCAAGGGCUGCCAGAGGGUGGAAAGAUGUAGCUAAGAAUUUUCCAAGGCCCUUCCACAUCUAGGCAGGGUCACAGGGUCCUGGACAUUUUAAGGCUGAAAGGAAUCAGUUUGACUCACACAGGAGGCUCCUCCUCCAGGAAUCCAGUGCCUGGGCAGUGGUUCACUCAAGGACACGCUUGUCUGCUGAGCCCGCCUUCCUGUGGAGCUGGGGGUGGAUCGCCCUGGCCCCAGGCCAUUCCUCUCCGCCAGUGCAUUGUCUGCCUGUCUGGCCGGAAGCAGCUGCUGCCCAGAGCAGGUGGGGCCUGUGGGGAAUGCAGGGCUGCCAGGUCUGCAGGAAGCUGCCCGGCUCCGGGCCUCUGCGCCCAGCCCAAGGCUCGCGGACAGCCCUGGGCUCCCGGCACCGCCCGGGUCUGGAGUACAGAGGCUGCGCGGGGCCUCCCAGCCACCCAGCUCACCCCAGUGCCCGGGGGACCCUCAGGAGCACCCAGACACCCAGCCUGGGGAUGGCUGACCCCUCACUGCCACCUCUCAGCCCAGAGCGGGGAAGGCUGGAAGGGAGAAGAGCCGGGUCCUCCGGGCGAGUGAAGGGCCAGCACCGACUGCCACCUCCAGCCUCACUGGCCCCGCGGGAACUCGGACCCCACCCCCGAUGCAAAGAGAGGGGUGCAGAGGUCCAAGCUGGGAACCCCAAAGUGCAUCCUCCUCCCCUGGCGCCUGCCCUGGGCUGGCCCUGCUCCAACACCCCCUCCGCCCAGGCCUGGAGGCCACAUGGCACUUCCCCAGGACAUUUUUGAGGAAAGGUGCCCAGGUGUCCUAUGGGGCGUGGACUUCAUCCGUCCAUUGCUACAUUUGUACCACCUGCUGGUGUCCCUGCCUGGCCUGAGGCCAUCCGCCCUCAGUGUGUCCUGAGGCCCUCGGUCCAGCCUGGCAGGGCUGCUGCAUCCAUGGGGGCUGGACCCCUCUGGGUCCCGCAUUCCAGGGUCACUGCGGUGGCCUGCCCUGCCUCGUCCCUCUCAGGAGCGCCCUGGCAGAGAGCUGGCCAGCCCUGCCCAGCCCUCAGAGCGGCUCCUGCCCUGCCCUGCAGAGCAAGCCCGGCCUUGGCCCCUCGGGGCCCAGCAGCAGCGGUCCCACCCCUCCUUCCUGACCCACCCCUCCUUCCUUGGCCAAGGAUCUGGUUCCUAAAUUCUUCUGUUACUUUUCUUCCCAAGGUGGUCUCCGCCUCACGUUCCAGGUGUAAGUUAAACUUGAACAGGAACAGGCCCUCCCUCCCUCCCUCCCUCC
rnacentral:lncRNA from 1 species